CCUACGGGAGGCAGCAGUGAGGAAUAUUGGUCAAUGGUCGGGAGACUGAACCAGCCAAGCCGCGUGAGGGAUGAAGGUACAGCGUAUCGUAAACCUCUUUUGUCAGGGAACAAAGGCGGGGACGUGUCCCCGGAUGAGUGUACCUGAAGAAAAAGCAUCGGCUAACUCCGUGCCAGCAGCCGCGGUAAUACGGAGGAUGCGAGCGUUAUCCGGGUUUAUUGGGUUUAAAGGGUGCGCAGGCGGUCUGUUAAGUCAGCGGUCAAAGCCCGGGGGUCAACCCCGGCCCGCCGUUGGAAACUGGCAGUCUCGAGUGGGAGAGAAGUAAGCGGAAUGCGCGGUGUAGCGGUGAAAUGCAUAGAUAUCGCGCAGAACUCCGAUUGCGAAGGCAGCGUACCGGAGCGAGACUGACGCUGAGGCACGAAAGCGUGGGGAUCGAACAGGAUUAGAUACCCCUGUAGUC
rnacentral:rRNA from 1 species